rnacentral:rRNA from 1 species
UACGGGGGGGGCAAGCGUUGUUCGGAAUUACUGGGCGUAAAGGGUUCGUAGGUGGCCAACUCAGUCAGACGUGAAAUCCCUCAGCUUAACUGGGGAACUGCGUCCGAUACUGGAUGGCUUGGAUUUGGGAGAGGGAUGCGGAAUUCCAGGUGUAGCGGUGAAAUGCGUAGAUAUCUGGAGGAACACCGGUGGCGAAGGCGGCAUCCUGGACCAAUAUUGACGCUGAGGAGCGAAAGCUAGGGGAGCAAACGGG